UUGACCUCAAAUCAGGUAGGACUACCCGCUGAACUUAAGCAUAUCAAUAAGCGGAGGAAAAGAAACUAACAAGGAUUCCCUUAGUAACUGCGAGUGAAGAGGGAAGAGCUCAAAUUUAAAAUCUGGCAGUGUUUUGCUGUCCGAGUUGUAAUCUAGAGAAGUGCUGCCCGUGCUGGACCGUGUACAAGUCUCCUGGAAUGGAGCGUCACAGAGGGUGAGAAUCCCGUCUUUGACAUGGACUGCCAGUGCAUUUGUGGUGUGCUCUCAAAGAGUCGAGUUGUUUGGGAAUGCAGCUCUAAAUGGGUGGUAAACUCCAUCUAAAGCUAAAUAUUGGCGAGAGACCGAUAGCGAACAAGUACCGUGAGGGAAAGAUGAAAAGAACUUUGGAAAGAGAGUUAAACAGUAUGUGAAAUUGUUGAAAGGGAAACGCUUAAAGUCAGUCGUGUCGGCCAGGGAUCAACUCAGUUUUCUUUGCUGGGUGUACUUCCUGAUCUGAUGGGCCAACAUCAGUUUUGACUGCUGGAGAAGGAUAGAGGGAAUGUGGCACCUUCGGGUGUGUUAUAGCUCUCUGUCGGAUGCAGUGGUUGGGACUGAGGAAAGCAGCAUG
rnacentral:rRNA from 1 species